GGGGAAAAUGCUUCCUAGAGGCAAUAGCGGCCAAAAUCUCUCUAUUUUAUAACAUAAGGUUUGGUGGAAGGAAGAAACCAGCAUUGUGUUGUGCGCUCUGCUGUUGGUUCCUCUGUUUAAAUUUACUUUAGAGCUAGGUAUUAGUUUCAGUGAAGGAUUUUAAUGAAAUGAGAAUUCCUUUUCUAUUAGCUCUUAUGUAGCCCACUCUUUGGGCUCUUCUACCCUGGUGCUGUAUUGCUCCAUCACUAUGUAUUCUCCUGCCUCUAGUGUAGUUCGUUCUUCUCUCUGAUACUGCUAAAAGUAAAAUACAUCUCUGCUGGGGAUAACUUUUGUCUCUAGCCAGAGAAUAGACUUCUAGAGAGCAAACUUUUGUCUUUGAAAUACACAAGACUGCACCAAAUGGCACAUACUUUUCUUUUCAAGUUCUGUAUUCUUCCUCUGUCCCUUCCCCCGCAGUCAGCAUUCUUCCUUCAGCAAAUUACUCCAUUCUGUUACUGGAUAGUUGUCCUCUCUGCUGACAUUCCUACUGUCUUAUUAUGCCUCAUGGCAAAGUAUUAAGCUGGAAUGACAUGUCUUAAUGGGGUAUUCAGAGACAUGUAUUAGGCCUGGAUUUGCUUAGUAUGCUCAUUAAUGAUCUAGGAGAUUGAGUAAACAAUAUGGUAUCCACAUUUGUAAAUGGUACUAAAUUACUUGAGAGGAGCUAUGAACAGAGGUGAGGCUAUAGAAAUACUACAAAAAGGCCUAGACAGUUUAGAAUCACUGGCAGAAAAAUAAGCUUUUGAUUUGAAAAAAUGCAAGCUAACAAUUUGGGGAAAGUUAAAUGAAAAGGAGAAAUCUGGGAGACUAAUGCUGAAAGAGACUUUGGGGUGAGAAUGUGCAGAAAAUUAGAUAGCAAUUUCCAAUGGAAUAUUGUGCCUUUUGUUCUUUACACAACAAUAACUGAAUGAAAAAACUACACAGUUGGGUCCUAAAUAUCCUGUUUACAAACAUAGAAGGCCUUGCUACCUAUUGCUGCUCUGUUUUCUGCUGGCUUCUCAAACAUAGAACACAUGGGGGUUUUUUUUUUUUUUUUUUGCAUUGUCCCCGUUUUUACAUCAACUAUUGUAAAUUUUCAAGAAUGAGCAAACAACAGAUUUCUGGAAGACACAGACCAACCACUACUUCUUGGAUGAUGAGAGUACAAUUCCAGCAAGAGUACUGCAUGCCAAAAAAGACUAGGAUCAUGAUCUGGAGCAAUAUGGGCAGCUGUGUGUGCAUAAUGCAAAGCAGGACCCCAGUUUCCUGACCCUUCCAAAAGAACAUGGUUUCUUCACCUUGGCUUUUGCAUCCUUGAUGGAGCUGAACAUAUUGUUAAUGGGAUUAGAGGUUCUCAUACCAUUUUUCAAGAACUUCAACAUUUGAAAUGACAGCUGGCUAACAGAAGAAAACAAAAGCAAAAAUCUACUAGGAUCAGGGAUAGGGAGCUGCAGUGAAAAAGUUAUGGGACCAGAUUUUCAAAACAGCUUGGCCCACAGCAGCUCCCAUUGUGUUGCUUCAAAGGAAUUCAGUGCUGAAUUGCAGAAAAUUUCCACUGCUAAUCUUGGUAUCUAAUUAGGAUCUGAGCUCUUUUGAGAAAAUGGCCUGGAUUGUGGGUUCAGACCUCUUUUGAAAUGUGGGCCAUACUACCUUGUAAUGGAUCUUGCACUGCAGAGCUUUCACCACAGUCAUUUUGUCACAAGGACAUCUGGUCACAGGACAAUCUGUAGAUAGUAGCAUAUAUGUACAGAUUCAUGAUUUCCAACUGUAGGCUUCAAAUACACUGCUGAGGACCACACUCAGCUUAAAGGUUGACAAUGAAAAAUCUCAUAAAAAGGUCUUGAAACAUUGAUUCCAUCCUGUGAAAUGCUAUUCAUCAGAAGUCAUUACUACAUCUUCCUGAUGAGAGGCUUAAAGGUGAUAAGUCAUUAGUGAGCUAAUAUGAUCCUUACAUGAACUGGGAUAUGGGAUGGGAGCUGGGCAGAAAUUGGGAGAGCAGAAAAGAAGUAGAGAUAAAAUAGAUGAAUCAAUGAAGCAGGAAAGAAGAGAAGAAAGAAGAGUGAAAAAUGCACCAAAGGCAAGAGAGGAAACAUGAAAGUAAAAAAAUAUAGAAAUAGAUAAA